rnacentral:lncRNA from 1 species
GGGACAGCGGGGGCAAAUUUCCCAGAGCGGAAUACAGUCCACCAUUAAGACGGUGACUCAUGUACUUGGACCAAACAUAAAGAAGGUCUUGACUUUCAUACCUGGAGCCAGAAAAUGUAUGGAAUUUUGAAUCUCAUUUCUGGACCUGCUUGCAGGCGUGAUUGUGACAUAUACCUUGGUCCAGCACCUGAGUGAUUUGACUAUCCUGCCUGGGUAA